AUGGGAGAGCAGGGCGGCGUGGUCUUCAUCGGUCGUGGGUGUGCAGGAGCAGGCGGAGGUGAGGAGGACGACGGCAGGGGAAAGAGCGGCCAGGUCGAAGCGGUGGAGUGGAGGAGUGUCGCUAGCCGCGUCACAGACGAGCGAGGAGGAGGAGGACGCCUGGAUUUGGCCUCGGCCUCGGCCUCAGCCCGUGGAGUUGGCGAUGGCAUCGUCAGAGGCCCGGGCGUCCUCCCCGGACAAGGCACUCGCGCUAGGCGGCGGCGAUCUGUGCGCCGGUUCAAGUUUGAUAUGUGGCAUGAGGUUGGGAUUUGUGAUGAAAAUGGUUGGAUGUUGAUCCAAGGGUGUAGAAAGGUGAAUGAGAUUCAAGAACGAUUCAGGCAGCUUAUGAUUUUAUUUCCUAAUAUUUCUUGGCUUGCAAACAGAGGCGGUAAGACGGUCGCAAGAAUGCCAAGCUCUUCAGCUGUGGCAUCACGCAAUAAUGGAAUUGAGCAUUCUGGGCAAAACAUAAAGGACAACGAAUAUGCGAGGUUGGUGACACCAGCUGAACAUGCAACAGCUGACAAGAAAUUUUGCCUGAGCAACCAAACAUCUUGUAUCUUCGUGAAAUUUGGCUGUGGCUGCGCGUUCGACCGGCCAGCCGAGGAUCUCCAGAUAGCAUGUGCGCCUAUUCUCCUUGCCCUUGAGUUCCUGCCAAAGCAGCAGCUCCUGUGUACCUCGCCGUCCGUUGUGGCAUCACCCUUCUUGUCCACCACCCUAACUCCGUCGCACUUCAGGCCUAGCAUGCACAGUGGUGCCGCGAGGAUUUGCUGCCGUGGGAGGAGGGGCCCGACCCAGAUGGCGGCCACCGGUGUAGUUGUUGGAUUCCUCUUGAAAAAUACCAUAGAUGGAAGGCCCGACCUCCAGCACCUGCACCUCUCACUGACGGGCACCUCCACCGCGCUUCGCGCCAGUAGCAAGGGUCGCCGCGCCCCGCGCCCAGGAGCAAGGCGAGCAAGGGACGCCGCGAGCGCACCCAGGAGCACGGGCUACCGCGCCCAGGAGCGCCACGAGCCGCGCCCAGGAGCGCCACGAGCCGCGCCCAGGAGCAAGGACCAAGGGACGCCGCGCGCCAUGGCCAGGGUUCAGGCCAACGCGCCCAGGAGCACGCGCUGCCGCGAGCCGAGCGCCAUGGCCAGGGGCUCGGGCUCGGGCCGCCGCGCCCAGGAAGAGGGAGGAGAGAGAGAGGUCGCGCCGCUGGGACUUCACGGCGGCUCCAGGCGGAGCUCGCCGGCAGGAGGAGGCGGCGGCCGAAGGGAGGUCCGCCGCGGCGCGUACUGCACGCUGACGGGCGCACCUUGGCUUGCACCAAAUCUAUGGGCUUAUGCAACUGCAGCGGGUGAACAAUGCAAAGCUGAUAGAAGGUGUUUGCUUGUUCACUCGGCAUCAGUUCCAUCAAUUUGCAAGUUCAUGGUACUACGUCUGCAAGCUACAUCUUGUGAAGAUUUGGUUACUGCAUUAUAUGGUGGUGUUUCACUUCCCUCGGUCAAGGAUUCUCUGGAGUAUUGGCAAUUGCAGGCUUCAUCAAUCAGAUCAUGUGUAGAGAUAAACUUCUUUUCUCAUAUGCUCUUUCUCUAUAUAACUGGGUCCAAAUACACAAUGAGUGUUGUCAUGGUUUGCUUUCUCCUUCAAAUAAAUUUAUCAUGCCUGAUUAGUUUGCAUCUCAUGCUGGUUAGUGCUUACAUAAUCUCUUUAGGUGUGCAUGAACAGAAUGGCUUCCUCUUCUUGCGAACCGCACUGAUGUUGGCUUCUGGUUUCUGCUGCAAUGGGUUUUUCAUUCGACUGGAUCUCCUCACCUUGUCAUCUGAUUGCUCUUCGUUUGCUGCUCUGCUUACCAAGGAAAUACCAAAGGAAGUAGCUUGUCGUUUGAAUAUCCCAAGCACGGACUGGUGGGACUACAGUUUGGCAAGCAGCGCUUCACUAGCUAGGACUGAGUAUGAUGAACAAUCACAUGACGUCUGCAUCUUGUUCAAGCAUGGAUGCAAGAAAUUUCUCCUGAAAACAGGACUUGAGGUUGAGAACAACUAUCACGUUGGUGAUUUCCCUGAUAUUUGGUUCUACAAGUGUGUCAUAUGGACCAAUGAAAGCAAAGAUAUUCCGGAGAUAAUAACUACAUGGGCUACUCCAAAUGGUCUGACAGUGGAACCAACACCUUUUAUAGGCCUUCAAGUACCUGUGGAAGCCAUUGGCGCAACCGGGUCAUCUAGUAAGGGGAAAGACAAAGAGUUGAUUCCAAUGCAUGCAGAAGAAAGUCAUGAAGACAGCGAUGCUGAGGGUAGUGCAGCUAGAAAUUUCAUCGGCUUAAAGCCUCCAGAACGAAAACGUAAACCAGUAUAUGCCGUGGAGCUGGGCACAAGAGGUACUACAUGUCCGCAGAGAGGUGAUCUCCUUUGCAAAGAAAGGAAAGAGGCCAAAUGUUCAAACUGCGGGGUUGGUGGACACAAGAAGAACACCUGCAACAAACCUAAAGUGGUGCUGCAUGUUGUUGAAAAUGCAACCUUGGAGCAGAUUUUCAUCUAGAAAAAUCUGAAUUCUUUUGUAGUCGGCUCCGUAGGCAUAAUAGUUCUGUAGCCUCUUGUA
rnacentral:rRNA from 1 species